AUACGGAGGGUCCGAGCGUUAUCCGGAUUUAUUGGGUUUAAAGGGAGCGUAGGUUGACAUAUAAGUCAGCUGUGAAAGUUUACGGCUCAACCGUGAAAUUGCAGUUGAUACUGUAUGUCUUGAGUGUACAAGAGGUGGGCGGAAUUCGUGGUGUAGCGGUGAAAUGCUUAGAUAUCACGAAGAACUCCGAUUGCGAAGGCAGCUUACUAAGCUGUAACUGACAUUGAGGCUCGAAAGUGUGGGUAUC
rnacentral:rRNA from 1 species